UACGUAGGGUGCGAGCGUUAAUCGGAAUUACUGGGCGUAAAGCGUGCGCAGGCGGUUCGUUGUGUCGGCGGUGAAAGCCCCGGGCUCAACCUGGGAAUGGCCGUUGAAACUGGCGAACUGGAGUGUGGCAGAGGGGGGUGGAAUUCCGCGUGUAGCGGUGAAAUGCGUAGAGAUGCGGAGGAACACCGAUGGCGAAGGCAGCCCCCUGGGCUGACACUGACGCUCAGGCACGAAAGCGUGGGGAGCAAACAGG
rnacentral:rRNA from 1 species